AAACCCAUCAUCUUGUGUUGGUUCUAGAUGAAGUCCCUCAGCGUACCUUUUCAUAAAUUGCCCUCUCUGUCCUGGCUAUAGUUACAGUUCCCUUAAAAAAUGCUAUAUAUUACAGCAUAAAAAUUCAUUCUUCAAGCAGUCAAAAAAACUUUAUUGGUAUAGCUCCAGUAUCCAACAGUCAGGCAAAAUCUAUCAAGAAUUACUCCUGUGUAGAUAAUAUACCAAGUGAAAGAAUUUCCACAAUAAAGGUGUGUAUGUUACAGUAGCCUUGAGAUAGGGCUGUCUUCUUCCAAAACAAGUUCUUCAGGUUUUAUGUGACUAUUUAAUACACUUCUGUGUUCAAGAAAAUAACUCUUGCUCUUACUCUGUACCAUGAAACCAGUAUAGCAGGAGGUACCAUGGGCUGGUGAGCAGAUCAGGAGACAGGAGUUGUCUCUUCUGUUUGUUUAAAGAUUUUCAGGGCCAUUUAAACUCCCACUUCCCCUUCUGUGAAGUGUUACAGCUACUAUUAAUUCUGCUAGUUAUAUGAGCAGAUUUUUUGUAAAUUGAAACACACUUUCUUCAAAGCGUAAGGUAUUUUUAAUAGAAAAGUCAUAAGUAUUAGGUGAAUGAACUCAUUGUUUUCUUACAUCUGUGAAUGAAAAAGCUUCUAGGCAGUGUCACUAAAUGCUAAUACUUGCAUUUUGUUCAUCUGUUUUAAAUGUAAAUGCUUUCUAUGUAUCACCCAGAAGAAAAAAUAAUAUAUAUUCCGUUUAGAGAGGACAGUCUUUCUAAAAAAUGCUGACAAAGGGUAUCUAUGACGUGGCUUUUCACUGACUGCAUUUCUGCACCCUCUUUUGCCCCACAGGGUUCUGCAGUGCCCAAUGGCUUGCAGGCACAAAGCUAAGUUCACCUCUUCUGAAGAGCAGCUGUGUCUAAGGUGAAGUCAGAACCACUGCACUGGGCAAGAUGAUUUCCAGAAAAUCAUUAAACAAGAGAGAAGCUGAUGGGGAAGAGCGUAACUCUCAGAGCUGCGUGACUGGUCUGACUGUGCUGGUGAUGCUGGGAUCUGGAUGCACCUUCAGCCACAUCAGUGAGUACAAUAGAUAUUUCCCAAUUGAGUAGUUAUUUCCAUAUCAUUCACAGAAGCACCUUUUUUUUCCCCUACUUUUCUCCCAGCAAGGAGGUUCCUGCUUGUGUUAUGAUUUCCCC
rnacentral:lncRNA from 1 species